UACAGGACGGCCCCAAGCGUUACUGAGAAUCACUGGGUUUAAAGGGUGCGUAGGUGGCGCGUUUAAGUCCGUUGUGAAAUCCCUUGGCUCAACCAAGGAAAUGCUUCGGAUACUGGCGUGCUUGAGGCUAGUAGGGGUCACUGGAACUGACGGUGGAGCGGUGAAAUGCGUAGAUAUCGUCAGGAACGCCAAUGGUGAAGACAGGUGACUGGGCUAGUUCUGACACUGAGGCACGAAAGCGUGGGGAGCGAACGGG
rnacentral:rRNA from 1 species